UUGUGGUUAAAAAGCUCGUAGUUGGAUCUCGGCGGACUGAGGGCGGUUUGCUUGCUAGUAUUACUGCCCUAUAGUCCGUAGUUUUGCCAGAGGUUUCGGGGUGCUCUUAAUCGAGUGUCCCGGGAUGCUGGCAGGUUUACUUUGAAAAAAUUAGAGUGCUCAAAGCAGGCUAUUACGCCUGAAUAUUCGUGCAUGGAAUAAUAGAAUAGGAAGUCGUUUCUAUUUUGUUGGUUUUCGGAAAUCGACUUAAUGAUUAAUAGGGACAGUCGGGGGCAUUUGUAUUCAAACGACAGAGGUGAAAUUCUUGGACCGUUUGAAGACAAACUACUGCGAAAGCAUUUGCCAAGAAUGUUUUCAUUAAUCAAGAACGAAAGUUAAAGGUUCGAAGGCGAUUAGAUACCGCCCUAGUUUUAACCAUAAACGAUGCCAGCUAGCGAUCUGCGGACGUUUUUUUUGUAGACUCCGCAGGAAGCUUCCGGGAAACCAAAGCAUUUGGGUUCCAGGGGAAGUAUGGUUGCAAAGCUGAAACUUAAAGGAAUUGACGGAAGGGCACCACCAGGAGUGGAGCCUGUGGCUUAAUUUGGCUCAACACGGGAAAUCUCACCAGGCCCGGACACUGGAAGGAUUGACAGAUUGAUAG
rnacentral:rRNA from 1 species